rnacentral:rRNA from 1 species
GACGAACGCUGGCGGCGUGCCUAAUACAUGCAAGUCGAGCGAUGAAGAUUGGUGCUUGCACCAAUUUGAAGAGCAGCGAACGGGUGAGUAACGCGUGGGGAAUCUGCCUUUGAGCGGGGGACAACAUUUGGAAACGAAUGCUAAUACCGCAUAACAACUUUAAACAUAAGUUUUAAGUUUGAAAGAUGCAAUUGCAUCACUCAAAGAUGAUCCCGCGUUGUAUUAGCUAGUUGGUGAGGUAAAGGCUCACCAAGGCGAUGAUACAUAGCCGACCUGAGAGGGUGAUCGGCCACAUUGGGACUGGGACACGGCCCAAACUCCUACGGGAAGCAGCAGUAGGGAAUCUUCGGCAAUGGACGAAAGUCUGACCGAGCAACGCCGCGGGAGUGAAGAAGGUUUUCGGAUCGUAAAACUCUGUUGGUAGAGAAGAACGUUGGUGAGAGUGGAAAGCUCAUCAAGUGACGGUAACUACCCAGAAAGGGACGGCUAACUACGUG